CAACCCCACAAACUUAAUCAGGAAUACCAAAGAAUUAAUCUGAACUAAUGUGAUUUUGUUUGGGGAUGCAGAUGGGAUAAUAACUGAGAAGUUCAGUUAUUUCAGAACGUGUCUAGAGGCAUCUACAUGACUUAGAUCCAUAGGUAAUCCGAUUCAUAUUUUUCUGAUAGCUGACUCAUAUUUCUAAGACAUCUUGUAUCUCCUCACCUCUCUCUGGUGGUAGUACGCAUUCAGUGAUAGGAGCUAAAGGACGCAGUGCAGAACUAAACCAGAAUUUAUGCAAAGUCAAUGAGCUGAAUUGAAAUAACUGAGUUGACUAAAUUAAUCUGAGCAGGAUCUGUCGCUUUCCCUAAAGGAACCCUGACUAACAAUAGCUUCUCCAACUGACAGUUGACUCUAACUUAAGUUCACUGCUUCUCUGCUGUUGCUAAUGUGCAGGUUCUGGGUCCUGAACUAAUUGCUGCCAGGUGGGUGACAGGAAACAGAGCUCCAAUCUUGUUCUCUGUUCUGAGAGAAAAUUCUGAUAUUCUUUGGAAAGAUAUAGAUGAAACCUAAUGUUUAUCAAGAAACUCUGUCUGUUAUCCUUCUUGGCUGAUACACAAGAAUAUAUGGUAGUCUUUGGCCAAAUUAAAACAUUAAAAUGGACUCCUUUUUUGAAGAGGGGUUGGGAGUAGGGGAUAACUAGUGGGAAAGGAAGGAAGGAACUAAAAUGAACUGAAUGCAUAUAGAAGCCAGGCAAUUUAUACACAUUACAUUAUCCUCCUAUGAAAUGCAAAUAGGCAUUUAAAUCUCCACUUUAUAUAUAAGGAAAUAAAGGUUCACAGAAGUUAAGUAACUUGAUUAAGAUCUCACAGUCAAUAAGCGGCAGAGACAGAACUUGAAAACAGUUCUUACUUCAAAAUCUAUUUUCUUUCCACAUUUCACACUGAUUCUAGAAACAUACGUAUUUAAAUAAACAUGCCCAUUGAAAAUAAUGAAGUUUGAAAAUAAGUUGUCAAUGAUUUUUUUCUUUAAUUGAUCUACUCUUAAAGAUUAUAUAACUAUCUUCUGGCUAAGUUUCGCUGUAUUAACAUUAUAAGUUUGUAAGCUGUAAACAACUCUAUAUGCCAAAAUUCUUAAAACAUCCAGACCCUUUGACUAAGGUUUUUUUCCUCUUGAUAUUAUAAAUUGGUCCAGAUUUGAUUGUAGAAAUGUCCAUCAUAACUUUGUCUAAUGCAGUGGAAUUUGAAAGUAAUCUAAAUGUCCAAAAUAAUGAAUUUGUUAAUCUUUGGCACACCGAUACUAAUGGAAUACUCUGCAGCCAUUAAAAAUUGUGUACUAGAAUAUUUAAUUAUCUAGAUAGAUGUUUUUGGUAUGUUAUUACUUUAAAAAGGGACUACAAACUGAAUGUAUGACAUAAUCUGAUUUUUGUAAAUAUAUAUUUAUAUAUGAAUAGAAAAAAGGCUUGAAGAAUAUAAUAUUAUGCAGCAGGCACUAUGAGUAUACACGUAUUACCUCCUUCAAUCUUUUCAAUAGCCUUCGCAUGUAGAUACUAUUAUUGUUACUGUAAUUUUGCAGCCAUGAAAACUGAGUCUUAGAGAGGCUAGGUAAAAUACUAGAUUUGCUAUGUAAAAAAUAACCUCCAAAUCUCAGUUUUUUAAAAGAAAUGAUUUUUUCUUUUCCUCAAGUUACAUGAUAACUAUGGGGCAGCUGAAGCACCCUCUGUGGAUCUGCUCCACAUGAUUUUCUCUCUGUGACCAGGGCUGAUGGAGCAACACUCGUCUGGAAUAUGCUGUUCUCAGGGCAGAGGAUGGUCCUGCCAGGGGAGCAACGCUUUGCUCAGAUGAGAGUCUAAAACUGCUCAGAAAAUGUUCUGAUACCUUUGAUUAGUCCAAAAGGUGGUUGCUGAAUGGGGAAAGGCAGAGCAUUCUAUGGCAAAGGCUGUGAUGGAAAGAGCAUGGUGUGCCCCAAGAAGUUAAAGACGCUUCCCUCUGAUGCAAUUCUAGAGAGUAAGAAGAAAGAAGCAGUUCACGCCUUUGUAUGACCUGAACUGGAGAACCCACAUCAAAGUAGGGAUUUGUGGGGCCCCCGUCCACUGUUGAAGAUACUCCAGGUCUGCAGUGAAAUGAAGCAGAGGAGCAUACAGCAGCAGAGAUGAGAAUAAGAAAGUACUUCCUGGUUUCCCACUAGGCUUUUAAUGCCUAGUCCCAUUCCCUUGGGGGAAUUGUGGGGAGAAGAAAGAGAGUAGCUGCUUUCAGAUUCUGUUCGCUGCCCUAGGAUUCUUCCAACAGAACACUUGUUGCCCCGAUGACUGCGAAUUAAUUUUUAUGUGCAAUCAAAAACUCCGAUUAAUUCAGCAGGACUUGAAAAGCAGCUACUACUAUGGUUCAGCUGCAAAGAGUGCACCUGUGAUACCAGCUCCUAGCAAUCCAACACCAAUAAUCUUGAUUCUGCAAAUUUUCACUUCCAAGAAGUUUACAAAACACAUCUGUAAUAUUUAAAGAAAGAAAAAAUAUUUCCUGGAACUUUCACCUUUAGUGAGUUAGAAGAAUGCCAUUUGAAGUAAAUAGAGAUUCAUUGUUUCUCUGUAUUUCUCAAAGAAUCAGUAGAGAUAUUGAGAGGAAAAAGUUCUUUCUCAUAUAAAUUUGGAAUAUUGGAAAGAAAUUACUGGAAGAAAAGAAAAUAUUAGAAACAUGGGUAGUGAUGAAGCAAAGAAUCUGAAAUGCUUCACUCAAAACCUCUUGAACUGUGGAAACGAUGGGGAAGAGAGUAUGUCAAAUGAGAUCCCGGGGAAGGAAUGCGAGCUUGAUAGCUUGACCAACAGCAACAAAAUGACCUGAGAACUUACUAGAAAUGCAAAUCCUUGGGCCUCACCUUAGACUGAAUCAGAAACUCUGGGAGUGGGGCCAGCAAUCUGUUUUGACAAGCCCUUUGGGUGAUUCAAUUGCUGAUUAAAGUGAGAAAAUCACCACUUGAGUGCAGCAAGGAGAGCAGUGUGUUGGGAUGACAUGGGAGGUUUAAAAAUCUGUCAAAUAACAACAACAAAAAAAAUUCUUGUCCCUGUCAUCAACUUCCAUGUCAUGAGGAUAAAAGGGAAGUUUGAAAAAUUAUUUGAGAAAAUAUGGUAAGACUGGCAGCAAAUUGUAACUUUAAAAAUUAGUAGGCACAUUAGGCAAGCUUCUACCACACCUCUUUCUUACCCAGAUUCACACACACAAACCAGGCUGUCCAAAGCACAGUCCUGCUUAAUUAGAUACUGAGGAGCCAAAACUUUUCCACCCCCUCCCCUCAGUCCCUAAGACACAACACAUCAGUUUCCAUGAUUGCUGUUCAGCAGAACCAGGCCAAUCUGGUUUUUUGCAGCUUGCCUAUUAAAAAGUGACUUUCACACCCUCCUGGGUUAUGUACCAAGACCUUUGCCCUUUUGUGGCUUAGCAGAAUGAUUUAUUUGUGUCAUUAGUCAAUCUAUUAUUUCAUCCAAAAUAUUUCCAUUACCUGAAAUAAACUGCAGUCCCAAUGAUGA
rnacentral:lncRNA from 1 species